GGAGUCAGGUUCCUUUGGAUUAAUAGGGAAUCCUGUGAAAAUCAGGAGCUAUUCCCGUAGCUGUAAGUCCCGUUAGAGGUUUUGUCAUCAUGUCACUGGCAGGAAUGCCGGGAAGGCGUCAAAAACCGGGACGAGCCAGAAGACCUGCCUGACU
rnacentral:ncRNA from 1 species